rnacentral:snRNA from 1 species
GAAUGCGAGGGUGAUGUGGCUAUGACAUCUAUCACCCCAUNGAUUGCUAGGGUUGAUUCAGCUGAUCUGGAUUGGCCAAGCAGGUAUCCCCUUCCCCUCUCAAUGCUCCACGUGGAUCCCUCUCAAAACGUCCCCAGACAGAGGAGGAAUGGUCUUCAGUGAAGGGUACAGAAGUAGCUUCGCUCCCCUGCUGGAACCUCCAAACAAAUCCUCAAGCUCUAUUCUAACUUUUUUUGGUUUUUCAAGACAGAGUUUCUCUACGUAACAGUCCUGGCUGUGCUGGAACUCACUCUGUAGAUCUGCCUGCCUCU